GGCACAACCUUGAAGUAGAGUAGAUAAGUGGGAUCAGUUAACAAUACUAAUCUACUUUACUUCAAGUUUGUGCCC
rfam:Haemonchus placei strain MHpl1 genome assembly, scaffold: HPLM_scaffold0000189